rnacentral:lncRNA from 1 species
UCUCCCCAGAUGGGAGGACAAACAGGAUUGAGAGGCCCCCAGCCUCUUAAGAUGGGAAUGAUGAACAACCCCAAUCCUUAUGGUUCACCAUAUACUCAGAAUCCUGGACAGCAGAUUGGAGCCAGUGGCCUUGGUCUCCAGAUUCAGACAAAAACUGUACUAUCAAAUAACUUAUCUCCAUUUGCUAUGGACAAAAAGGCAGUUCCUGGUGGAGGAAUGCCCAACAUGGUGAGUACUAAUCCAUUACAGACUUGUUUUCAAACUGGCAUUUUGACAAAAGAAUUGUGUUAAACUUUCACCCUUCUGUUAUAUAUGCUGGGAUUUGUACCCACUAGGAGCCUAAAUUGAUAUGUACUUGAUGAUCCCUGUGAGGAGGCUUGUGCUUCCUUUCCAUUUCUCUGUUUUUUUUGUUCCAUGUGGUUAUUGAUCAGUGAGCAUGUUGAUCCAAACAGGAGUAAGUGAACUGCUACAAUGAAGUUUUAGGGGCCUGCCAUUC